UGGGGGAUAUUGCACAAUGGGCGAAAGCCUGAUGCAGCGACGCCGCGUGGGGGAUGAAGGCUUUCGGGUUGUAAACCUCUUUCGCUAUCGAACAAGGCCCGCUUAGGGUGGGUUGAGGGUAGGUGGAGAAGAAGCGCCGGCUAACUACGUGCCAGCAGCCGCGGUAAUACGUAGGGCGCGAGCGUUGUCCGGAAUUAUUGGGCGUAAAGGGCUUGUAGGCGGCUUGUUGCGCCUGCUGUGAAAACGCGGGGCUUAACUUCGCGCGUGCAGUGGGUACGGGCAGGGUUGAGUGUGGUAGGGGUGACUGGAAUUCCAGGGGUAGCGUUGGAAUGCGCAGAUAUCUGGAGGAACACCGAUGGCGAAGGCAGGUCACUGGGCCAUUACUGACGCUGAGGAGCGAAAGCAUGGGUAGCGAACAGG
rnacentral:rRNA from 1 species